UCUCAUAGCCCUGCACAGGCUGCAGAGCUGCCCAGAGCACAACAGGAGCAGGUUUUUGGGGACAUUUGAGCUCUGUCUUGAACUCAAGGUGUUCAAAACCAUGAAACUGGGGCUGCUAGUCCUAAUCUGCCUCAUUUAAAUCAGAUUAAGGCUCAUGGAGGUGUGACUCAAUGAUCUCCUGUUCCUGAAGCAACAAGGACUGAACUCCAGAGGGACCCAGAGGAUGGGAUGCUCAGAUCCCUCCUUCCUGCUGCUGACAGAAUGGAGUGCAACGCUGGGCAUCCCUGCACGUUGGUGUGAGCAUUAAAGCAGGAACAGAGCUGAGGGAAGAUGGGAAGGAUGGCUUGGGAUGCUGCCACAAAGAAAAGAUGGGCUUGUACCCAGCACCCCACAGGAAAUGGCUUGAGCAAGGUUAUGGAAGCAUAUUGUGCUUAAAUGUUUUCAAGGUCAGAUCUUCAAAUGAUUCUUAUCUUUAUUCAUCAGAUACUCCCUAAACACUUAUUUUUCUACAUAAUAUCUAUAAUAUCUCCUGGCUCUAUGCUGAUGCUACUCAUUUAAAUACACAUGGAAGUUAUGUAUAACAACGACACAGAAAAUGCAGUGCUCUCCCAUUAGGGGCAUAUUUUGCCAUUCCUGCUACUUUCCAAAUCAAUUACUUAGUAAGAAAUCAUGCAAAAGGCGAAGGCAAUCCAAAGAGACUUAUAAAGUUCUUAUUCUUGUUACACCCAGGAUGAAGCUACAGGAUAUCUGAAUUACUCCCAUAUGGCAUAAAAUCUGAAGCAAUAGGCUAUUGUGAUACAAGAUAUUCAAACCAGCUACCAAAUCGCUCCCUUUGGCUAUCAGUGAUCAGAGAUGACUGGAUGUGCUUUUCUUUUGAACAUGAAAGUGAAAUCAGCUCCAUUGCUGAUGGGACAAAAUGCAUAUGCAGCAAAGGGGGGACUGCUUUGUCCCUCAGAUGCAGGAGAGGUUCUUGGAGCUCUUGGAGCUCCUGUUCUUGUCCUGAUACUUUCUCCCUGAGGACUUCAAAGAGGCACACCUUACCUUUGCAAAGGAGCAAGAAACGUGAAAGGGUAAGGGAUCUGGGGGAGGAAACUGAGGGGGAAAGCGUGGCAGAUCCAUAAUCACGAGACAGGAGUUUACAGUGGGAAUAGCGACCAUGAAUAAUGCAACAAUUCUCCCCCUGGAGAGAGGGAGGCCUUGAGAUUCCUCCAGAUCUAAUGGCUGAAACAGCCCUUUUUUCAGGUGCCACAUCUGUCUCCAUUUGCAUGCUCAUUUGAUCAGAUCCUGGAGAUAGAAACUCUGUGCCGUUCAAAAUUAGGACCACAAGGAACCUGCAGAACACUGCAAGCCCUGCAAGGGUAAAGUCAGGGGGUUUCCAACCCAUGAAAGGUCCAAAGAGCAGAUAAAGCCCUUGCACAUGUCCCAUGGAUACAGUGGAAUGCAAAAAGACAUCAAAAGGUUAAAACAACUUUCAGGGUCAUGGAUGACUUGAGGCACACUGAGGACACCAGGACUGUGCAGCCUAAAAAAGAGAUGAAUGCCAGGUGGCUGGCAGAAAUACAUAAAAUCAGGAAUGUUUUGGAGAGGGGGAAAAAGGUUAAUAAUGAUACAUGUUCUUUAUUUCUCAAAAGCCAAGAUUUAGGGGAACACCCAGGAAUGAACAAGCAGUGGGUUUGACAGCAGAGCUGCAUUUUCCCAGGUGACACAGCAUUAAGUCCUGGAACUCUGUGCCAGAUGAGCCUCAGUAUAAAUGAUUUUUUGAGACCACUGAUAUCCAGGAGGAUGCUCUGCUGCUGGCUGUUAAACACAAUGCUCUGGUUGCAAACUGUGGCAGAGGAAACUUUACAUUAAACAGCAUCAAAGCAGGAGGCAGAAUCUUUUAAACUCUCCCUUAAAUGGCUUCGAUACCCAAUUAUCAGGCAGCACACACUGGGUAGCUCAGUCUUUGGUUGUGCUCACUGUAGCACCUUUUGUGUUCCUAAGUUAAGUUCAAAAAGAGGCACCUCCUCUAUAGCUCAUGACAAGUGAAACCCACAAAUAAGGACUUUUAUCACUUGGCAUCUGUGUUACACAGCCUGGGAUUUUCAGCCAUUGCCCUACAAACAUGCUCUGCAUGCUCAGCCCUGAAGGGAUAAGGGUUAAUUCACUACCAGCUGCAUUCAACCAAAUGUUUAAUCCAUACAAGCACAGUAUUAAAAACAAGGUGUGAACUUAGAGCCAACUUACCCUCCCUUUCACUUUGACCUUCUACAGCAGCAUGUGAGUGAGCCUUUCAUUAUUUCUGGGAGAAAACAGGUAGUUUGUAAAAGAUAUUUCAGCAGCAUACUGAAAGUCCAAACCCUGAUGGACUGUGAUGUGAAAUAACUUGUCUGGUGCAGUAGUUUGCUCUCAUCUACACAGAAAAGCCUCAAACCAGACAAAGCAUGAGUCUGCUUUCGCUCAUUUCUUUAAAUAAGCCCCCAGCUUUCAAAAAAUGUUUGAUUUCCUCCUUUUGUACUUGGCUUCAAUGAUGAUUAAGCUCUCAAGGGGCUGCUAUGCUUGUCAUGCACUGUUUUUUUCUGAUGGAUAUUACACAAACUCCAUGCACAAAUUCAUUUUUCCUGCCCUCCCUCUUCCAUGUUAAAAAUUACAAGCAGAUGAGAUGCUAAGAGGAGAGAGUUUAUAAUUGUAAUUGGACUAUUCACACAAAAUGCAGACUUUGCUUUAUCUUUUGCAUAGUUAAAAUUUUGGUGUGCCUUUUAAAACAUAACUAAAUAGAGAUAUCUUAAAGAUAACAAUCUAGUUAUUAUUUUUCAAUUAUUUGAGGAAGGUUGGAUUUGGUUUUGUUGGUUCUUUUGAUUUGAUUUUUCCUGUGGGGUUUCCAUCUUUUCCUCAGAAAUAACACACUCUCCGUGAUGAUUACCUGUGGUCAGGUUUGGAAUCCUGAAGCAAGAGGCCAGUUCUGCUCUUGCUUACUUGGAGUAAUGCCAUUAAAAGCUCUGUGUCUGACUAUUCCCUGAUGUAACUGGGGAUAUCCACAGUCCACACACACACUUUCAAAAGACUAUUUUGAUUAAUUCCAGAUUAGAACAGAGCUUCCUGGGAGGGAUUUUCUGCUCUGUGGGUUUCUCUGCCCACACCAACAGCGAGUGCUCUUCUGUCUUGAGAACUGCUUUUUCCUUCCUCAACUGUUCUCCAAUGUGAAUUUGAAAGUCGUGCAUGGACAGACUCCAGAUUUCAAACUCAUGCAGCCCUCCAUGCCAGAACCACCAGAGCCUCAGGGAAUGUAACAAACACAACUCAUGAGAACAACCAGAUGACAGCUUAUUAAUACACCCUGAAUGUUUUCUGCUUGUAGAGAAAACUUGCGCUGCCAGCGCAGGGAGCUCACGUGAUUCUCCAAGAGAAGAUCUCCCAGUUGUUACAGGCAAGACACAGACAUCAACUCCACUUCUGUUCCACCAAGGGUUAACUGGACUCCAGAGCAGAAUGCAAGAGAAAGGAAUGUAAAGCAAGAUGGGAGGCAAAGGAAAGGAGGAUUCCCAUCCUUCUGGUAGAAUUAAUCAGCAGCUCUUUUGUCAUCUCCCAAACUCAGGAGCAUCCCCCACCUUGGAGAAGUUUCCUUCCAAGCCAAUGAUUGGCAAUGUGCAGAGAGUGGCAGAGCUGCUGCUGACACCAGCAGGAGAAUCAGAGACCCGAGUGAGAACAGUCUUGAGGAUGAGCCUGGGUAAUUUAGGCUGUCUGUAGACUCCAGCAAACAUCAUUUCUGCUGGAGCACUUAUGGAGAACACUCCCCUGAGUGGGAGACAGAGGGCUGUCCAUGACCUGUCAAAAAAUCCUCGCUAAGGCAUAAAGCAGACUGGAGCCCUACUGCCUCAAAACUGGAGCCCUGGAAACCUCAAAAAGGGGAAUGUUAUCCUUUUUUGAUUAGCUGCUUUCAUGCUUCCUUUGGAGUCAGUACUGCAAAAUGACACUGACCUGCACUGGCAUUUCCAAAAGAAAGCUUGGGACUGGAAUGGCUGCACAUGGUGCUGGUCAGGAUUAGGUGUUUUAACAGAGGUUGGAGAUCCCUGCAGCAGAUGUGCUGCUUUCACUGAAUUCCAGGAAUGUGCCAUUGAUCCUGCUGCUCCCCAGAGCCUGCACUCGCUCUGUGCUCGUGCAGUCAUCCCAGCAGAGGUGUCUGCAGGGGAGCCCAGCCCAAGCCAGAAAGUGAUUUCUGCAGAAAUGGUCAAAUUCCAUGGUAGAAUAAUGCACAUGGAGGAAAAAAAAAAUAAAGACGAAGUACCAAAGCACCCAAAGUACAGUGGCUUUAAAAAAUAGUAGCAAUAAAGG